GACGAACGCUGGCGGCGUGCCUAAUACAUGCAAGUAGAACGCUGAAGGAGGAGCUUGCUUCUCUGGAUGAGUUGCGAACGGGUGAGUAACGCGUAGGUAACCUGCCUGGUAGCGGGGGAUAACUAUUGGAAACGAUAGCUAAUACCGCAUAACAGUAGAUAUCGCAUGAUAUCUACUUGAAAGUUGCAAUUGCAUCACUACCAGACGGACCUGCGUUGUAUUAGCUAGUUGGUGAGGUAACGGCUCACCAAGGCGACGAUACAUAGCCGACCUGAGAGGGUGAUCGGCCACACUGGGACUGAGACACGGCCCAGACUCCUACGGGAGGCAGCAGUAGGGAAUCUUCGGCAAUGGACGGAAGUCUGACCGAGCAACGCCGCGUGAGUGAAGAAGGUUUUCGGAUCGUAAAGCUCUGUUGUAAGAGAAGAACGAGUGUGAGAGUGGAAAGUUCACACUGUGACGGUAUCUUACCAGAAAGGGACGGCUAACUACGUG
rnacentral:rRNA from 1 species